rnacentral:sRNA from 1 species
CACGCCCCAAUUACGUCGUACUGCUGGUGAUUCCCUUUGGACUGCUCACCCUGGAAAUCAAUGCUUGUCGGCAUCCGGUCUGCAGCUGGGAUACACCAGAGACUUGGUCUGUGAACCCACGCGGCGAGGGAAUAUCCCCAGAUUGUUUUCGAAGAAUUAGCUCCUCCAUCAAAGAAAGACGCCGUUAUUAGGAUUGACUCUUGUGAGCGCUCUUUUUAACCGAAUGGUACAGAAGACUUGACAAGGGUCAAUAUUUCCAGAAGCGAAGCUGGGCAUCCAUUUCCUCGACAUCAUUUCAUGUGCAAAUCGAUUGACCGGAUGUCUCGAUUUCAGAAUCCCUUUGUGCAUACCUCUAUUGCGAU